rnacentral:rRNA from 1 species
AGUGAACGCUGGCGGCGUCGUUAACACAUGCAAGUCGAACGGAUCAAGUAGCUUGCUAUUUGGUUAGUGGCGCACGGGUGAGUAAUGUAUAGCUAACCUGCCCUUUAUGGGGGACAACAGUUGGAAACGACUGCUAAUACCCCAUACUCCUUCUUGCCAUAAGGUGAGUCGGGAAAGAUUUAUUGCUAAAGGAUGGGGCUUUAUUGUAUCAGCUAGUUGGUGGGGUAACGGCCUACCAAGGCUAUGACGCAUACCUGGUCUGAGAGGAUGAUCAGGCACACUGGAACUGAGACACGGUCCAGACUCCUACGGGAGGCAGCAGUGGGGAAUAUUGCACAAUGGAGGAAACUCUGAUGCAGCAACGCCGCGUGGAGGAUGACGCAUUCGGUGUGUAAACUCCUUUUAUAAGGGAAGAUAAUGACGGUACCUUAUGAAUAAGCACCGGCUAACUCCGUG